rnacentral:rRNA from 1 species
CCUACGGGAGGCAGCAGUCGAGAAUCAUUCACAAUGGGGGAAACCCUGAUGGUGCGACGCCGCGUGGGGGAAUGAAGGUCUUCGGAUUGUAAACCCCUGUCAUGUGGGAGCAAAUUAAAAAGAUAGUACCACAAGAGGAAGAGACGGCUAACUCUGUGCCAGCAGCCGCGGUAAGACAGAGGUCUCAAGCGUUGUUCGGAAUCACGGGGCGUAAAGCGUGCGUAGGCUGUUUCGUAAGUCGUGUGUGAAAGGCGCGGGCUCAACCCGCGGACGGCACAUGAUACUGCGAGACUAGAGUAAUGGAGGGGGAACCGGAAUUCUCGGUGUAGCAGUGAAAUGCGUAGAUAUCGAGAGGAACACUCGUGGCGAAGGCGGGUUCCUGGACAUUAACUGACGCUGAGGCACGAAGGCCAGGGGAGCGAAAGGGAUUAGAUACCCUGGUAGUC